rnacentral:rRNA from 1 species
AAUAUUGGACAAUGGGGGCAACCCUGAUCCAGCCAUGCCGCGUGUGUGAAGAAGGUCUUCUGAUUGUAAAGCACUUUAAGUUGGGAGGAAGGUCUUUAGGCUCAUACCCUGAAGUUUUGACGUUACCACAAGAAUAAGCACCUGCUAACUCUCAGCCUGCAGCCGCGGUAACACAGAGGGUGCAAGCGUUAAUCGGAAUUACUGGGCGUACAGCGCGCGUAGGUGGUUCAGUAAGAUGGGUGUGAAAUCCCCGGGCUUAACCUGGGAACUGCUUUCAUAACUGCUGAGCUAGAGUACGGUAGAGGGUAGUGGAAUUUCCUGUGUAGCGGUGAAAUGCGUAGAUAUAGGAAGGAACACCAGUGGCGAAGGCGACUACCUGGACUGAUACUGACACUGAGGUGCGAAAGCGUGGGGAGCAAACA